rnacentral:rRNA from 1 species
UACGGGGGGAGCAAGCGUUGUUCGGAUUUACUGGGCGUAAAGGGCGCGUAGGCGGCGUGACAAGUCACUUGUGAAAUCUCCGGGCUUAACUCGGAACGGUCAAGUGAUACUGUCGUGCUAGAGUACAGAAGGGGCAACUGGAAUUCUCGGUGUAGCGGUGAAAUGCGUAGAUAUCGAGAGGAACACCUGCGGCGAAGGCGGCACCCUGGGGCCAGUCCUGACGCUGAUGCGCGAAAGCGUGGGGAGCAAACAGG